GUUCUAAGGGCGUUGAAGCAUGAUCGUAAGGACAUGUGGAGCGCUUAGAAGUGAGAAUGCCGGUGUGAGUAGCGAAAGACGGGUGAGAAUCCCGUCCACCGAUUGACUAAGGUUUCCAGAGGAAGGCUCGUCCGCUCUGGGUUAGUCGGGUCCUAAGCUGAGGCCGACAGGCGUAGGCGAUGGAUAACAGGUUGAUAUUCCUGUACCACCUAUAAUCGUUUUAAUCGAUGGGGGGACGCA
rnacentral:rRNA from 1 species